rnacentral:rRNA from 1 species
GACGAACGCUGGCGGCGUGCUUAACACAUGCAAGUCGAACGGAAAGGCCCUGCUUUUGUGGGGUGCUCGAGUGGCGAACGGGUGAGUAACACGUGAGUAACCUGCCCUUGACUUUGGGAUAACUUCAGGAAACUGGGGCUAAUACCGGAUAGGAGCUCCUGCUGCAUGGUGGGGGUUGGAAAGUUUCGGCGGUUGGGGAUGGACUCGCGGCUUAUCAGCUUGUUGGUGGGGUAGUGGCUUACCAAGGCUUUGACGGGUAGCCGGCCUGAGAGGGUGACCGGCCACAUUGGGACUGAGAGACGGCCCAGACUCCAACGGGAGGCAGCAGUGGGAAAUAUUGCACAAGGGGCGGAAGCCUGAUGCGGCAACGCCGGGUGCGGGAUGACGGCCUUCGGGUUGUAAACCGCUUUCGCCUGUGACGAAGCGUGAGUGACGGUAAUGGGUAAAGAAGCACCGGCUAACUACGUG